UGAACAGGAAGCGAGAGUAUCCCUCCCACC
rnacentral:piRNA from 1 species